rnacentral:rRNA from 1 species
GAUGAACGCUAGCUACAGGCUUAACACAUGCAAGUCGAGGGGCAGCAUGAUUGAAGCUUGCUUCAAUCGAUGGCGACCGGCGCACGGGUGAGUAACACGUAUCCAACCUGCCGAUAACUCGGGGAUAGCCUUUCGAAAGAAAGAUUAAUACCCGAUAGUAUAGUAUUUCCGCAUGGUUUCACUAUUAAAGAACUUCGGUUAUCGAUGGGGAUGCGUUCCAUUAGAUAGUUGGCGGGGUAACGGCCCACCAAGUCAACGAUGGAUAGGGGUUCUGAGAGGAAGGUCCCCCGCAAUGGAGCUGAGGCACAGUCCAAACUCCUACGGGAGGCAGCAGUAAGGAAUAUUAGUCAAUGGACGAGAGUCUGAACCAGCCAAGUAGCGUGAAGGAUGACUGCCCUAUGGGUUGUAAACUUCUUUUAUACGGGAAUAAAGUGGAGUAUGCAUACUCCUUUGUAUGUACCGUAUGAAUAAGGAUCGGCUAACUCCGUG